rnacentral:rRNA from 1 species
GGAUUGACACAUCGGUCGUGCCUUAAGGGGUAUGAACUGGUGUAGUCAAUUUCUCACCUUCUGGAGAACCGCGAUGUCCUUAAUUGGGUGCCGCGGGGAACCAGGACCUUUACUUUGAAAAAAUUAGAGUGUUUAAAGCAGGCAUUUUGCUUGAAUACAUUAGCAUGGAAUAAUAAAAUAGGACGGAUGAUUCUAUUUUGUUGGUUUCUAGGACCACCGUAAUGAUUAAUAGGGAUAGUUGGG